ensembl:ncRNA lncRNA:CR45452 long non-coding RNA:CR45452
AGCGCAUAUAAUUCAUAGCAGGCGGCAGCAGAGGCAAAAGCAGAAGCACCAGGCUGACCCUUUCAUUAGACGCAGACUGGCCAACUUUAUGCAUCCUGCGCGUUGAUUUCCAUUUAAACGACAGCGUUAGAGAAACAGAAGCCGGGCCAAACUGGCUUCCUUGAUGCUAUCCACCGAUGCUGGCGAGUCGAAACGAAAAGCGAAAGAACCCAUUAAAAUAGCUCCAACUGUAGCAAAUUCAGCUCCUCGACUCUUUGGCUCCUCGCCUGCAGCAACGCGGUAGGUUGUUGUCGCACGGCUAUGGCCACUUUGAUUUGCAGUGCCGACCCAGGCGGACACGACCGGUGACAACUUUGACCACCAGGCCAGGAACAGAUAUACCAAGUAGAUCGAGACGCGGACUUUGCCUUCGACUUUGCAAUCCUGCCGAGCUUAAGUCGAACAUAAAUCUUUGGCCACUAU